rnacentral:rRNA from 1 species
AGCGAACACUGGCGGCAUGCCUAACACAUGCAAGUCGAACGAGAUCUUCGGGUCUAGUGGCGCACGGGUGCGUAACGCGUGGGAAUCUGCCCUUUGGUUCGGAAUAACAGUUGGAAACGACUGCUAAUACCGGAUGAUGACGAAAGUCCAAAGAUUUAUCGCCAGAGGAUGAGCCCGCGUAGGAUUAGCUAGUUGGUGUGGUAAAGGCGCACCAAGGCGACGAUCCUUAGCUGGUCUGAGAGGAUGAUCAGCCACACUGGGACUGAGACACGGCCCAGACUCCUACGGGAGGCAGCAGUGGGGAAUAUUGGACAAUGGGCGAAAGCCUGAUCCAGCAAUGCCGCGUGAGUGAUGAAGGCCUUAGGGUUGUAAAGCUCUUUUACCCGGGAUGAUAAUGACAGUACCGGGAGAAUAAGCUCCGGCUAACUCCGUGCCAGCCGCCGCAGUAA